ensembl:lncRNA
AGGCCUGUUGCCUGUCUAUGGAGGUCAGCUGGAGCUGACCCCUGAGUUCAUGUCCCCCAUGAGUAGGGAGAAGCAUACACAAGUGUAGCCUGAAUAUAGGACCAGAGGUAGGCAUACAAUCAUGGUCAAUGUAGCCUAGAUUGAGCCCUCUCCUGUGGGUAGAAUGAGGCCUGUUGCCUGUCUAUGGAGGUCAGCUGGAGCUGACCCCUGAGUUUAAGUUCCCCAUGAGUAGGGAGAAGCAUACACAAGUGUAGCCUGAAUAUAGGACCAGAGGUAGGCAUAAAAUCAUGGUCAAUGUAGCCUAGAUUGAGCCCUCUCCUGUGGGUAGAAUGAGGCCUGUUGCCUGUCUAUGGAGGUCAGCUGGAGCUGACCCCUGAGUUUAAGUUCCCCAUGAGUAGGGAGAAGCAUACACAAGUGUAGCCUGAAUAUAGGACCAGAGGUAGGCAUACAAUCAUGGUCAAUGUAGCCUAGAUUGAGCCCUCUCCUGUGGGUAGAAUGAGGCCUGUUGCCUGUCUAUGGAGGUCAGCUGGAGCUGACCCCUGAGUUUAAUGUUCCC